CAACAACAACAACGACGACGAUGAUGAUGAUGAUGAUGCUCUCUUGGAAGUCGCAUGCGUGACAACGUGAUGGAUGUUAUCAUCAUCAUCAUCAUCAUCAUCAUCAUCGUCG
rnacentral:miRNA from 1 species